rnacentral:lncRNA from 1 species
UGCCUAAUGUAAGCGCACCUUUCAAAAGUCUGAAAUACGCACGCAAAGAACCAAUAUCGAAUCUCAAACACCCCAAGCCGCGUCUACGAAACGUUCGAAUGAGUAACAAUAACAUCAUAUAUAAGCCAUUGAUUUCCAAAUGAACCUUUAACUACUUAGUGCUGCUUCGCAGAAACCUUUAGAAAUGACAAGUUCAAAUAAUUAAAAAUCCAACUUGAUAGCCAUGCAAUAUACAAUUUUUAAUUUCAAAGCUUCUAGCAAUGACAUAGGAACAUAGGCGUUAUAUGGAUACAAUACUAUAUAAAACUCAAAAAGGAAGAACCUCUUAUAUGAACACCUAAAUUAUUUAAUGGAACUUAUUCAAAGUUAAUACUCAAACAAAUUGCCUAUUAAAGACCCCUUAUAAUUACUGCGUUUCACAAAGGAAAUGCCAAGCAAACAAGAUGAAGUUUCUGCGGCUCACAUCCGCCUCUUCAGUACUCACAGAUACAGCAAAUAGAAAAUCCCAUGUCCAAAUAGUUUUCAUGUCUCUUUGGAAAUGAGACCAAAUACCUAUACACAAUGGAAAUUAAGUUAAAUACACAACUGAAUUAGCUUCGACAAUGCAUAAACAUCAAAUAAACCACUGCGCUAUUACAAAUCUCAACUUCACUAAAUCAACUUCAUGUUCAUCCGUUCUCAUACAUUAAAAGAUGAGAUGAAUACCUAAAAAAGCAAAAUAUGAGAGGGAGUGACUAGCAGCAGUAAACAGCACAGAAUAAGACCCAAAUAUAGUCACUUGAAGAGUGAAAUCAACCCAAAUUAAAACCAAUGAAAUAGUAUCAACCAGUAGAAAUUUUAAGCUAAAACUCUUUCCAAGAUUCAAAUUCAGAUCACUUCAAACCCCCGAAUCAAAUACCAUUUCAGAAAUCAGCAACUCAAAAAUCAAAGAAGGUCUCCAAUGUAAUAGUAAUUUUUUUUUAAUGUUUUUCUCAGCCUUUUCAGAAAUUCUGUAUUUUCUCUCUCUUUUUAGUCUCUUUUAGCAAUGCCUUUAUAGGUAAGAAAAAUAUGGCACAAUGUAGGGAUCAGAUUUGUAUUUUUAUCCCUUUUAAAUUUGGUUUUUACUCAAUAAGCCCCUCAAUGUUUGACUUCCUUGUCAAGUAAGUCUAUUUGCAGCUUCUAAGAAGCUUCCUCAUAUGUUACAAUAGGAUUCCUUUACCUAAUCUAUCCAAGAUACCCCUGUUCCACUUGUUAAUUACCUUCCAAAGAUCACAUGAGUCAUGGGUAAACUUGACCCAAUAACUAAACCAGAACACCAUGGGUCACGGGCCAAAUCCGUUUUGAGCCUCGCAGAUGUCAGGCUCAAAUUGAGCCCUGAUUCAACAUCCCAAUUUAACGAGUCAAAGGGAAAACUCGGAACCCAUAAGGCAAAACCCAAAACCAAAAAGAAAAAAGGCAGUGCUUAAUUAAUUUCAAACAAAAAUCAAAUGAAACAUGAUGAUUAUUGAAUACUUAUGCAUGGACAGAAUUAAAACGAAUACAUAAUGAAAAGAGAAACGAUAAAGAAGGACCAGAAGUGGAAUGCAGAAACAGGGAAUAGUAAAAUGAAAGAAAAAGUAUAGAAAACUAAAAGAAGAAUACCUAAAGGCUCAGGACAUACUCGAACAAGUUUUGAAAGUUCCUCUGAUUUUCCGACCGGAUUAGACCUUAUUCUUGUGUUUACAUGUCAAAACACACGAGCAAGGUCCAGCAUGAUCUAAAAUUCCUCAAUCACCCCAUUGAAUUUGAGUUCGACGAGUUCUAGGAGUGUUUGAGGGAAAAUAAUUAGGGAUGUGGAAGAGGAAAUGGAGGAGAUCGAGGGAUGUUGUUUUGGGGUCAAUUGGUGGUGGCGCCGCCACUGAAGGAACUGUGACGAUGCUAGGAUUUUUAAAAUUUAUAGUUUUCCGGUGGGAUUUAAGGGAAACAAGCCGUGAUAUUGGAAUGAGGGAGUGGAGCAGAAGCUGUGGUGUGAAAUUGGGAGCGUUUGGAGACUCGGCGCCGCCGUGGCGCGAUUUCCGAUGGCGGUUGGUGGAGGCAUUACGGGGGAUAUUGAAGGGUUGUGAGAGACGAGUAAGGAGGGGGGGUACAUUUGGACAGCUAUAUAC